rnacentral:rRNA from 1 species
UACAGAGGAGCCAAGCGUUGUCCGGAUUGACUGGGCGUAAAGCGCACGCAGGCGGCCGCGCGCGUGGGGUGUGAAAUCUGGCCGCUUAACGGCCAGGCGCCAUCCCAUACGGCGCGGCUGGAGCCAUGCAGAGGGCGGUGGAAUUGCCGGUGUAGUGGUGAAAUGCGUAGAGAUCAGCAGGAACGCCCGUGGCGAAGGCGGCCCCCUGGGCCGUACCUGACGCUGAGGCGCGAAGGCUAGGGGAGCGAACGGG